GAUGAAGAACGUAGCGAAAUGCGAUACUUGGUGUGAAUUGCAGAAUCCCGUGAACCAUCGAGUCUUUGAACGCAAGUUGCGCCCGAAGCCAUUAGGCCGAGGGCACGCCUGCCUGGGCGUCACACGUCGUUGCCCCCCCAUCUACUCCUUCGGGAUUGCGGGGGGCGGAUGAUGGCCUCCCGUGCGCCUCGCCGCGCGGUUGGCAUAAAUGCCAAGUCCUCGGCGACGCACGCCACGACAAUCGGUGGUUGCGAAACCUCGGUUGCCCGUCGUGUGCGGUCGUCGCGCAUCGAGGGCUCGAAAAAAUUGCCGGGUUCCGGCUCGGCUUUCAACGCGACCCCAGGUCAGGCGGGGUUACCCGCUGAAUUUAAGCAUAUCAAAGCGAGGA
rnacentral:misc_RNA from 1 species